UGGGAACGAGAAGACACUCAUGUAGGAGUC
rnacentral:piRNA from 1 species